UACGUAGGGACCAAGCGUUGUCCGGAAUCAUUGGGCGUAAAGAGCGUGUAGGCGGCUUGUUAAGUCUUGCGUGAAAUCUCGGGGCUCAACCCCGAGCGGUCGUGAGAAACUGGCAGGCUAGAGUGCGGGAGAGGAGAGUGGAAUUCCUGGUGUAGCGGUGGAAUGCGCAGAUAUCAGGAGGAACACCGAUUGCGAAGGCAGCUCGCUGGGACGUAACUGACGCUGAGACGCGAAAGCGUGGGGAGCAAACAGG
rnacentral:rRNA from 1 species